UACAGAGGGUGCGAGCGUUGUCCGGAAUCACUGGGCGUAAAGGGCGCGUAGGCGGCUCGGUAAGGUUGCAGUGAAAGCCCGGGGCUCAACCCCGGGUCGGCCGUGCGGACUGCCGGGCUGGAGCACUGUAGAGGCAGGUGGAAUUCCGGGUGUAGCGGUGGAAUGCGUAGAGAUCCGGAAGAACACCGGUGGCGAAGGCGGCCUGCUGGGCAGUAGCUGACGCUGAAGCGCGACAGCGUGGGGAGCAAACAGG
rnacentral:rRNA from 1 species